rnacentral:lncRNA from 1 species
AUGCCUGGAUACCUACAGAAAGGCUUCAGCUGCGUGGUCACCAAUGACCAUUUGAUGAGCAAUGAGACCCUUACUGAGGGCAGCAGAGAACAAAAGCCACCAGCAGAGGUGCAGGUGGCAUAGGGCCUCCCCCAUUGCUCUGCCCCUCCCCUGGCCCCCCAUACCAAGAGCUUGGCUAAGGCUGAGAUUUAGAACAACUCCAAUGUGGUGGUCAGUUGUGUGCAAGGAGUCACAGAAAGAUCACAAGAACCUGAUGCCCAGCAUGUGGGCGUGGCUGACAAAGAGGAGGAGACUGUUGCUGGUGACAGGAAUAAAGUGAGCAGGGAGGAGACCUGAUCAACACCUUCAGUGUGAAGGGAAAAAAAUUUAUAGGAGACCCAGAAAGCCAACCACCUCGUGAAAGAUUUGAAAAGCCACUUGAAGGGUGAAGGUGGUGAAUUUUCAAUUGAUGGACAUUAUUGAACGGCCCAUCUGAGGCCGAGGUGACGUGGGAAGGGCACAAGGAGGCUGCGGAUAGAGGAUGGACUGAGGCGAUGGAUUCGAUCCUCGUGGCAAAUGUGAAUUGUUAGGUACAGUGGAAGUGGUAGAUCUGGCCUGAAGCUGGAGGUGGUGGCUUUCACGGACUGGGGAACUGUCAGAGAUUAGUGAACUGAUUUGGAUCAAUCAAAUGUAACUGAGGAAACCCAGAGGCAGACAGUGAAAGUAAUGACAGCGAAGUUGAAGAGAUUGAGGAAGAGGAUCCACAAGAGAUGCCUUCGGAUAAGUGGGAAGCUAUUUGAAAUAAAGACUGAGCAAAAGAAGAAUUAAAUAUCUGAAAACCAAAUGAAGGUACUGAUGGACAAUGGAAAAGGGCAUUUGUUCUGCAUAAGUAAAAAAAAAAAGUGAAGAGGUUCGUGUUGCAGAUUCGGCUGUGGACCUUCAUUUCUGGAAGCCAGCAAAUGAUAUAAAGUCUCAAGUGGAGAUCAAUUACGGAGGCCCUGGGACAGGGAAGACGAGGGCAUGGGUGUGGUAGUCAUCCAAACCGUGGCCAAAGGACUGAUGAUUCAAGUGCUUCUAGUCCUGAUGUAGAUGACCCAGAGGCAUCCCAGCUCUG